UUGCGCAUGCACUUGCACGUAAUUGCAUCUCAAUGACAGAUAGAUGAUCUACAAAAGCUUGUGAGGACUUUUUGUUAUUUGACACUGUCAACAAAAUAUCACGAAUCAAAGUUGGAACUCUCAUUUCUGGCGAAAUUUGGACAGGAAAGGUCAAACUGAUGCGAAGCACCCUACCCCGGCUGGUAGAAUUUGGCAUGGCGUGUAUUGUCUUUUUCUCCACGAACGGCCCAUCGAGCGUCGCCAUCACGAAUAUUUUCAAGAUCAAAAGAAAGAUUCUCGCCGCUCAAACGGCAAAACGGGGACAAAUAGACAAUACAAAGGUGAUGGCAAUCAAGGGAGGCGCAAAUAUCCUUCUACAGUUUUAGUCAAGAGGGCAUGGUCUUGAUGUCCUAUGGCUGCUAGUGUAAGGCUGACAAAACGUACAUCGCUAGGAGUUGCUGAAAGGGGGAUGUUUGAGCAAGGGCUGGGAUACGAGGGAUUUUAAAUAAUAAUAUGAAGAAGUAUAAGGAAAUCAAUUAAACAAACAGUAAAUCCCA